ACUGGUGAUUCUGGAAGUCCGUCACCAGUAGCCAGGAGCAACACUUAAAGGGGAACCAAGGUGGAGGACGGAGCUAGUGUACGACGACGUGAAAGCCCAGGAAAUAUCCGCCUGAGGCAUAGACAACUUCAAGGAAGGUGAUGAAGGACUGACCACGUGGUAAUGACGUCACAUGUAAACAAACAAGGUGAACAACACUACUCCAUCAACCAUUAACCAUCUCCCGUCAUCGGUCAUCUAUCUCUCAGCAUCUCCCGUCACCGGUCAUCUAUCUCUCAGCAUCUCCCGUCAUCGGUCAUCUAUCUCUCAGGAUCUCCCGUCAUCGGUCAUCCAUCUCUCAGCAUCUCCCGUCAUCGGUCAUCUAUCUCUCAGCAUCUCCCGUCACCGGUCAUCUAUCUCUCAGCAUCUCCCGUCAUCGGUCAUCUAUCUCUCAGCAUCUCCCGUCAUCGGUCAUCUAUCUCUCAGCAUCUCCCGUCAUCGGUCAUCUAUCUCUCAGCAUCUCCCGUCAUCGGUCAUCUAUCUCUCAGCAUCUCCCGUCAUCGGUAUCACGAGUGUCUCAUAAUACACACCGCCAUAUAGAUUUUAUCAUGAGGAUAGAUUAGUGUAUGUUAAGUAGCUUCAUUUUUAUCACUUGUAAUACACCAUCCAUAUACAACUUAAGUCAAGGUUACUAUUAUACUACAAGCAUUUACAAGGUAGUGGGGUAAACUUUUUCUGAGCCACACUGUUGUUUACUAUAAGCAUUUACAAGGUAGUGGGGUAAACUUUUUCUGAGCCACACUGUUGUUUACUAUAAGCAUUUACAAGAUAGUGGGGUAAACUUUUUCUGAGCCACACUGUUGUUUACUAUAAGCAUUUACAAGGUAGUGGGGUAAACUUUUUCUGAGCCACACUGUUGUUUACUAUAAGCAUUUACAAGAUAGUGGGGUAAACUUUUUUUGAGCCACACUGUUGUUUACUAUAAGCAUUUACAAGGUUGUAGGGUAAACUUUUUUCUGAGCCACACUGUUACUUUUUUUCUGGGCCACAUUGUUGUCUCACUCGAUUGUUCUGAUUUUAUUAAUUUUUAACCAAGUGUAAUUCCUUCACGUAAUUGAACUGUUAUGUUUUUUGUGUCGCAAUAGAUCCUCAGGUGGUAGCUUGUGUGUGUGUCAUCAAUGGAAUUUAAUAUUAAUAAAAUGUUAUUGUGGUGUGAAAUAUGUUUACUUGAUGGUUGUGAUCAGUAUAUGAGAGAGAGAGAGAGAGAGAG